CAGGACCAGAGGCGGAAGGCGAGUGCCCAGGCGACGGCGAAGGCGACCACGAGCCACGCCGACCCCCCUGCGGCUCGCUGCCCGCGCCGCGUCCCCCUAGGCCGCCGCCGCCUUUGCAGUGCCGCAUGGUCUUCACGGUCGGCACCUCCAUCGCCUCCGUCCUCAUGUCGUGGGCAGGUAAUACGAUGGGGGAGGCCCAGCAAAGGCUAGCGCCUUAUCGGGCCGGUCGCGCUUGGAGGAUUGCCCCACCGAACGGAAACGUUCGAUCGAUCAGACCUUCCAAAAUCCUAAAAAAAAUAAAAAUCAAACCUUCCAGAUCAAAACGAUUCGUUCGCUGGGGGUUAUGCCCAGAUCGAACGUCAGCUCUAAUAAUAUAUUCCCUUCGGAGUAUUAUUAGUUAGGGUCCAAAAACGAAAGAUCUGCUUCUGUGUGCGGAUCAGCUUCUCCCUUCGUACGAUCUAGAUUCCCCUCUCCUCCAGGUCGUUACACGAUUGGAUCUACAUCUCUCUUUCAGCGACAGGAAAUUUCAGGAUAUCAAGUGGAUCUUCAUGCACAUACUUCAAUCCCCUCUGUUAAAGAGUCGGAUUGGAAUUAGCCUGCAGGCCGAUCGAAUUGUAUCGCACGCGGAAAUGCAAAUAGCCUCCCAACACGCGUGCGUGUUAGUAAUCCAAUCCGAUUUGCACUGGAAGACGGACACAGGCCCCGCCUCAAGCUUUUGAUAUAUUCGAAUCCUAUCACAGUUGGGCAGGAGACACCUAUAUAUAUCGGCUUUUCUAGCAUCUUGGUGGAAUUUGCUCCCUCUCCUGAAGUCGAGAAGUAAACUAGACAAGUCUAGCCAUGGAUUCUGUAGAUCAAGAUCGUCUCCUAGACGAGGCUAUGAUUGAAACGAGAAGAAGGUGGGGGUGGAGCCAGGAACAAAUUGACGAGUUUCAGAGGGAAAGGGCAAGAGAUCGAGAAGCACUGCGCCAGGAACUGGCUGCAGAAUUGCGUGAGAGGGAAAGCAUGGAAUAUGAAAGAAGACAUAGGGACCGGGCCUCCGGGCCAGCCAUGUUGGAUCUGUUUGUUCCGGCAGUCGGCGAGACAAGGGAACAAACCUGCGCGGUGUGCCUUGAGGAUUUCGUGGAAGGCGGAAAGAAGCUGAGGAGGAUGCCCUGCUACCACUCCUUCCAUCAGCGCUGCAUCUUCGACUGGCUUCGCUUUAACCGUCGCUGCCCAGUGUGCCGCUUUGCGAUGACCUCCGUCGAGGAGCAACGUGCCCUUGACCAGGCAAAAGCCGAGGCAGCGGCGACAUGUGGUGAUGGGCCGGAGGCAGCCAAGCGACGGAGACUCGACCCGGCUACUGAUUGAGGCAGCCAAGCCCAGUGAACUAGACUCUGACACUUGUGAUCUGAAGACGAUGGCACUCGGCCAAGGACUUUCUCUCGCUUCUGAUCUGAACUUGCCUUCAGUACAUUUGGCUACUGAUUGCAUAAGUGGUACUCCAAAGUAGCAUGGUGAUUUUGGGAGAUUAAGGCUAAGAUGGGACCUUUGACGGAGUAAACAUGAUGCAUGAUUAUCUCUGUAACCUGACCUUUUUUUAAUCUGUGUAACCUGACCCUGUUAUCUGGGGAUGGGCAACCCCUUU